UGCGCAGGCGGCUUAUUAAGUCAGUGGUGAAAUCUCUCGGCUCAACCGAGAAACUGCCAUUGAAACUGAUAAGCUUGAGUGUAGUUGUAGUAGGCGGAAUAUAGCAUGUAGCGGUGAAAUGCUUAGAUAUGCUAUAGAACACCGAUCGCGAAGGCAGCUUACUAAACUAUUACUGACGCUCAUGCACGAAAGCGUGGGGAGCAAACAGGAUUAGAUACCCUGGUAGUCC
rnacentral:rRNA from 1 species